AUGAUUAGUUAUCGGCAGCACAUAUACUAAAAUUGGAAUGAUACAGAGAAAAUUAGCAUGGCCCCUGUGCAAGGAUGACAUGCAAAUUUGGGAAGCGUUCCAUAUUUUU